ACCGUUAAGCCACCUCUCCUGUGGCGUGGGGCGCGCGGGCGAGACGUGAGAGGGAGUUGUGGGCCUGAGACCACUGAGAGAAGUCCGGAAGGUCCCUCAGAAAUAAUCGAACAACCGAAGAACCUAAAAAGCAAUUUCUUGCGUUCCCACAAUGAAUGAUCAAGAACAACAUUGCGGUUUGGUUCUGAAAGCUGCUUUAAGGAUUGAGAAUGUGAAAUUAGAAGAUGGUCAGCACUUUACGCUCACAGAUGGUUGCGUGGAAGCAAGUGCAAAGGUCCAGAGUGCAUUCCAAGCACCAACUGAACCUAAGCCUUUUCUCUGCAAAGCCCAGAAGUUCCAGAGUGGAAUUUCCAGCUCGGCUGACAGUCCUCUUAUUUCAAACCACAACAGCCACUACCUGUAAGAACAGCAUAUAACAGAGGUCCUG
rnacentral:lncRNA from 1 species